rnacentral:tRNA from 1 species
GCCGAGGUGGCGGAAUUGGUAUACGCGGCAGGUUGAGGGCCUGUGCUCAUAUUGGGCGUGAGGGUUCAAGUCCCUCUCUCGGCA